rnacentral:rRNA from 1 species
UACGUAGGGUGCGAGCGUUGUCCGGAAUUAUUGGGCGUAAAGAGCUUGUAGGCGGUCUGUCGCGCCUGCUGUGAAAAUCCGGGGCUCAACCCCGGACUUGCAGUGGGUACGGGCAGACUAGAGUGUGGUAGGGGAGACUGGAAUUCCUGGUGUAGCGGUGAAAUGCGCAGAUAUCAGGAGGAACACCGAUGGCGAAGGCAGGUCUCUGGGCCACUACUGACGCUGAGAAGCGAAAGCAUGGGGAGCAAACAGG